rnacentral:rRNA from 1 species
UACGGAGGGAGCUAGCGUUGUUCGGAUAUACUGGGCGUAAAGCGCACGCAGGCGGCGCCGUAAGUCAGGGGUGAAAUCCCGGAGCUCAACUCCGGAACUGCCCUUGAAACUGCAGUGCUAGAAUCUUGGAGAGGCGAGUGGAAUUCCGAGUGUAGAGGUGAAAUUCGUAGAUAUUCGGAAGAACACCAGUGGCGAAGGCGACUCGCUGGACAAGUAUUGACGCUGAGGUGCGAAAGCGUGGGGAGCAAACAGG